AUGGCCGGGGGAAGAGGCGGUGCAAGCCGUGUCGCCGUCGCCGCCGCCGCGGCGCUCGCCGUCGCGUGCUGCUGCAUGGGCGUCGCCAGCGCGGCCACCUACUACGUCGGGGACGGCGGCGGCUGGUCCCUCAGCAGCGGGAGCUGGCCCAACGGGAAGCAGUUCCGCGCCGGCGACGUCCUCGUGUUCAGGUACAACCCGCUGAUCCACAACGUGGUGGCGGUGGGCGAGGACGGGUACAACGGGUGCACCACGCCGGCGGGGUCGAGGACCUACGAGUCCGGCAACGACGCCGUGAGGCUGGUCAGGGGCGACAACCGCUUCAUGUGCACCCGCCUCUACCACUGCAACUUCGGGAUGAAGAUGGUCGUCAACGCCGCCUGA
rnacentral:rRNA from 1 species